UACGUAGGGUGCAAGCGUUGUCCGGAAUUAUUGGGCGUAAAGAGCUCGUAGGCGGUCUGUCGCGUCUGCUGUGAAAACUCGGGGCUUAACCCCGGGCCUGCAGUGGGUACGGGCAGACUAGAGUGCGGUAGGGGAGACUGGAAUUCCUGGUGUAGCGGCGAAAUGCGCAGAUAUCAGGAGGAACACCGGUGGCGAAGGCGGGUCUCUGGGCCGUAACUGACGCUGGAGGAGCGAAAGCCGUGGGGAGCGAACAGGA
rnacentral:rRNA from 1 species